AAAAAAAAAAACCCCCCCCUCCAGAGUCCACUCUACCUCCGUCUUCCCCAAACGCCUCUGCCGGGGACGGAGUCCUCUCCUCCCCUCCGCCGUCGCACCGAUCUGACCUUCUCCGAAUCCCACGGCGGGCUUCUUACUCGAAGCUCACCGGUCUCAGACCGCCGCCAUGGGCUGGAGCGGUUCGCUCGAGGGAGAGGACUAGCAUCGGCGGCGGCCACGCGAGAGGCCGGCGGAGGAGGAAGAUGGAUAGCAGGUCGCCGUCCCAACCCAGGGCGUGAGGGGCGGAGCGGGAGGGGCCGCGCCGGCGGCCGGCGACUCGAUCGGUUGGAGUGAGUGCGGCAUUGCGUCGGUUGCUCGGAUUUGAUCUUUUCCAAGGAGAUUCACGUUCCUGAAAUAUUCUUGUGAUGAGAGGUGUUGUUCCAAGAUGGACUGUCCCAGACUUCCAGUGGAAACCGCUAGGAAACCUUGUACUUCUUGCCAAUGAAAAUGUGUCCAAAAGGAGCAGCAAAGCAAAUCUUGACGGGUACAAAACAUCCAGGAAGAAAGUGGAUCUCGCUGACACAAUAAAAGAUGGAGCAGCGGCUGUUGGUGAUUGAUUCUGGGACUCCAAGUUGCAUGUGGAAGAAGUACUACUGGCUCUACAUAGGUUCUGUGUCUGUUACUUUGUUUUAGGGUUAGAUUAUUCAAUGUUGCUUUAAGGGAAUGUGCCCAAUUGCUCGAUGGCGUACUGCAGCUUGUUGUAAACAGACUUGAGUUGCUCUUGAGAUCCUCCAAGAUUUUAACAUCCACUGCACGCGAUUUUAUGCUUUCCUGGAGCAAUUAUUUUUUGUCUGAUCGACGAAAACUGACUGGCCCAAACAACUAGUUGAACAGCAAGCAGAGACCUGCAAAGGAACCUCCUCGAGUUAAUCUGCAUAGAGAUAGAUAUAUAUGGUUUAGAUCGGCAUUCAAGGUUUCUUCUGAUAUUCUCUUGUGCUGUAUCUUGUCGAAUGAUCUGGACAUGGCAUUUGUAUUGCAGAACAGGGACUUGUAUAUAAAUUGAGCUUGACCAAGAACAGUAAUCAAGCAUACGGUUCUAUCAAUAUGGAAAUGUAAUCCUAUGACUUUGAGAUAUAUAUGGUUUAAGAGCAAUAA